rnacentral:rRNA from 1 species
UACGUAGGGGGCUAGCGUUGUCCGGAAUCAUUGGGCGUAAAGCGCGUGUAGGCGGUCCGGUAAGUCCGCUGUGAAAGUCGGGGGCUCAACCCUCGAAUGCCGGUGGAUACUGUCGGGCUAGAGUACGGAAGAGGCGAGUGGAAUUCCUGGUGUAGCGGUGGAAUGCGCAGAUAUCAGGAGGAACACCAAUAGCGAAGGCAGCUCGCUGGGACGUUACUGACACUGAGGCGCGAAAGCGUGGGGAGCGAACAGG